CCAAAAGCUGGCGACCGGCGCACGGGUGAGUAACACGUAUCCAACCUGCCUCAUACUCGGGGAUAGCCUUUCGAAAGAAAGAUUAAUAUCCGAUAGCAUAUAUUUCCCGCAUGGGUUUUAUAUUAAAGAAAUUCGGUAUGAGAUGGGGAUGCGUUCCAUUAGUUUGUUGGGGGGGUAACGGCCCACCAAGACUACGAUGGAUAGGGGCUCUGAGAGGAAGGUCCCCCACAUUGGAACUGAGACACGGUCCAA
rnacentral:rRNA from 1 species